AUUGCACCUCAUGUGUUUCACCUGAGUUCAGCUGUUGAUCAGUGUCUGUGCUCUCAGUCCUGUGAGUCAGUUCAUCUGCUGUUCAGAAACUGGCCUCCGGAGGAGAAUGCAAACCAGCCAGAGGCGAGCUGAGGCAGCGUGUCGACAAUGAGCGAGAUUGUGUUGGCAGAGCGGCGCAGGAAGAGAUGACAAAUACACUCCUGUCUUUUGAUAUGCUAACAAGCAGGCGGCAUGAUGGUGAGAGCCUGCUCGUCCAGAUGUCCACCAAUCUCUCUGCUCUGCGUAAUUUUGAAUGAUUUGAUAUUCAUGACCUGCUGAUUUGAAAACUGCCUGCAGCCAAAAAGCCGUGUGUGGAAGAAAUAUAAAUUCAUAUACAUUUCUAUCUGCUGGCUUGUUGUUCAUGCAGCAAUCAGUGUCAAUCAUUUUUGCCUUUGCCACCUGCCAUAACACCAUAAUACUGCUGCACAAGAAACACAUUUAAUUUGACCGCAGUUUUUUUAAAGAAUAAUUCCAGGUAAUUUUAAAUUGUAUUUUGUUUUGACAUGUGUUGCAAAUAAAUCAAUUGGUUGAGAAGUUAAUUGAUGUGAUCUGUGAACACAACAGCAUUGUUAAAAUGUUAAAACGACAAAGUCAAUACUCAUGAGGCAGAGAAACAACAAUUUACUCAAGCCAACAGUUUAACCCUGUUGGAGGUAAAACCAAAAUGAUUAAGAACCAGUACUGUCAUUAAUAUUUAUUCCUCACCUGUAUUGUAUUCAAGGUGUGAUGAGCAGAAUAAGAGCUGAUAAUAAGAAUAACUCAGAGGUGAUAAAAACAAGCUGCAGGAGGUGACUGUUCAGAGCUCAGGCUGCUGUGUGAAUAUAACACAGUGUGUCUGCUGCUGUUCAGGAGGAGAACCUGUUCUGAGCUCAGUAAAAACUCCCUGUCUGUUUUUCUUGAUGUUUUUUUUACUUGUGCCAUCAUUAAAUUGAUA